CCUACGGGUGGCAGCAGUGGGGAAUAUUGGGCAAUGGGCGCAAGCCUUACCCAGCAAUACCGCGUGAGUGAAGAAGGUCUUCGGAUUGUAAAGCUCUUUGAUCAGGGACGAGCAGAUGACGGUACCUCAUGAACAAGCCACGGCUAACUACGUGCCAGCAGCCGCGGUAAAACGUAGGGGGCGAGCGUUGUCCGGAAUGACUGGGGGUAAAGGGUGCGCAGGCGGGAGAAAAAGUUAGAAGUGAAAUCCCCAGGGCUUAACUCUGGUGCUGCUUCUAAAACUGUUGAGCUUGAGUGUGGGAGAGGUUAAUGGAAUUCCUAGUGUAGCGGUGGAAUGCGUAGAUAUAAGGAAGAACACCAGAGGCGAAGGCGAUUAACUGGACCAUAACUGACGGUGAGGCACGAAAGCGUGGGGAGCAAACAGGAUUAGAUACCCGAGUAGUC
rnacentral:rRNA from 1 species